rnacentral:misc_RNA from 1 species
AACGCACGAGACCUGCGGACCUGCGGAAGGAUCAUUAUAAAAAGUUUUUUUAUACCCCUUUUUUAAUUAAGAAGGGGGGGGUAUAUAAAAUUUUUUUCAACCCUUUGUUUUUUUAGACUUUGUUGCUUUGGUAGGUUUUUUAAAACCUGCCAAAGGAAAUUAUAAAAUUCUUGAAAUUUUGUUGUCCGAGUUUAUAAAAAAAUUUUAAUAAAACUUUCAACAAUGGAUCUCUAGAUCGGA